CAGGGGUUCAGUGUUAUUUUUCUUCUGGGGUUCAGUGUUAUUUUUCUUCAGGGGUUCAGUUUUAUUUUUCUUCAUGGGUUCAGUUUUAUUUUUCUUCAGGGGUUCAGUUUUAUUUUUCUUCAGGGGUUCAGUUUUAUUUUUCUUCAUGGG